rnacentral:rRNA from 1 species
UGAGGAAUAUUGGUCAAUGGGCGCGAGCCUGAACCAGCCAAGUCGCGUGAGGGAAGACGGCCCUACGGGUUGUAAACCUCUUUUGCCGGGGAGCAACGCUGCGGACGAGUCCGCAGGUGAGAGUACCCGGAGAAAAAGCAUCGGCUAACUCCGUGCCAGCAGCCGCGGUAAUACGGAGGAUGCGAGCGUUAUCCGGAUUUAUUGGGUUUAAAGGGUGCGUAGGCGGAUUAUUAAGUCAGCGGUGAAAGCGUGUGGCUCAACCAUACAAUUGCCGUUGAUACUGGUAGUCUUGAGUGUAAACGAGGUAGGCGGAAUGUGAUGUGUAGCGGUGAAAUGCUUAGAUAUGUCACAGAACUCCGAUUGCGAAGGCAGCUUACCAGGAUACGACUGACGCUGAGGCACGAAAGCGUGGGUAUCAAACAGGAUUAGAUACCCUGGUAGU